GCCGGUUCAGGGCUACGACAUUAGUUUUCUCAUUACAAAUUAUCAUUGUGAAGACAUGCAGAAGCAGAAGCUUAUUGAUUUCAUAGUGCAAUUCAUGGAGGAUAUUGAUAAGGAAAUCAGUGAACUGAAACUAUCAGUGAAUACGCGAGGGAGGCUUGUCGCUACUGAGUUUCUGAAGCAAUUCAUCUGAUCUUUCGUUAUCGUUGUUUAUUCCGUGUUCUAUUCUUGUGACAACUAGAACAUAUAUUCAUUUUUUUGUUCUCUGCUUGUAGCUAAACAUUGCAGAAAUUUUCUGUUGUAUUG
rnacentral:misc_RNA from 1 species